CAAUAGCAUGUCCACCUCCCGGAAGUUUCGGCCUGCACGCUUCCUCCGCGCGUGUUCUUCGCUGAAUGUCCAAGGUGGCCGGUACGAUCACUGUAAACAAAAUUAGAAUGCUCAGAGUGAGACCUUCCGGCAUGCAUACGAAAAGCAUGGAAUGAUGGAAAAUGGCCUCAUCCGCGCGUCAUUCGUAAGUCUCCGUUCACGACGAGCCAAUGAUCGAAGGGAGCGAUCGAGGCCACUCGUAUUGCGACGUUAGAGGCGAAAUUCUUGGAUCGUCGCAAGACGCACUGCUGCGACGGCGUGUGGCAAGCACAUUCAGAAUUUUAUGUACUGAGAA
rnacentral:ncRNA from 1 species